CAGUAGCCGCGGUAAUACGUAGGGUGCGAGCGUUAAUCGGAAUUACUGGGCGUAAAGCGUGCGCAGGCGGUCAUAUAAGACAGAUGUGAAAUCCCCCCGCUCAACCUGGGGCCUGCAUUUGUGACUGUAUAGCUAGAGUACGGUAGAGGGGGAUGGAAUUCCGCGUGUAGCAGUGAAAUGCGUAGAUAUGCGGAGGAACACCGAUGGCGAAGGCAGCCCCCUGGGAUAACACUGACGCUCAUGCACGAAAGCGUGGGGAGCAAACAGGAUUAGAUACCCCAGUAGUCCCUGUCUCUUAUAA
rnacentral:rRNA from 1 species